rnacentral:rRNA from 1 species
CGCGUAGGCGGCUCGGCAAGUCAGAUGUGAAAGCCCUGGGCUUAACCCAGGAAUUGCAUCUGAAACUGCUUUGCUUGAGUCCUGGAGGGGGUAGUGGAAUUCCCAGUGUAGCGGUGAAAUGCGUAGAUAUUGGGAGGAACACCUGUGGCGAAGGCGGCUACCUGGACAGUGACUGACGCUGAUGCGCGAAAGCUAGGGGAGCAAACGGGAUUAGAUACCCCGGUAGUCCUAGCCGUAAACGAUGGGCACUUGGUGUCGGGGGUAUUGAGUCCCCCGGUGCCGGAGUUAACACGUUAAGUGCCCCGCCUGGGGAGUACGGUCGCAAGACUGAA